rnacentral:piRNA from 1 species
UAAGUUACAAGAUUUUUUUAACAGCCAC